GAGGGUAUAGCUCAGUGGCAGAGUGCAUGCUUAGCACGCAUGAGGUCCUGGGUUCAAUCCCCAGUGCCUCCA
rnacentral:tRNA from 1 species